GAUUGAACGCUGGCGGCAGGCCUAACACAUGCAAGUCGAGCGGAUGAAGGGAGCUUGCUCCUGGAUUCAGCGGCGGACGGGUGAGUAAUGCCUAGGAAUCUGCCUGGUAGUGGGGGAUAACGUCCGGAAACGGGCGCUAAUACCGCAUACGUCCUGAGGGAGAAAGUGGGGGAUCUUCGGACCUCACGCUAUCAGAUGAGCCUAGGUCGGAUUAGCUAGUUGGUGGGGUAAAGGCCUACCAAGGCGACGAUCCGUAACUGGUCUGAGAGGAUGAUCAGUCACACUGGAACUGAGACACGGUCCAGACUCCUACGGGAGGCAGCAGUGGGGAAUAUUGGACGAUGGGCGAAAGCCUGAUCCAGCCAUGCCGCGUGUGUGAAGAAGGUCUUCGGAUUGUAAAGCACUUUAAGUUGGGAGGAAGGGCAGUAAGUUAAUACCUUGCUGUUUUGACGUUACCAACAGAAUAAGCACCGGCUAACUUCGUG
rnacentral:rRNA from 1 species